GGAAAGGUGUCGGAGUGGUCGAUCGUGCAGACCUGGAACGUCUGUGUAGGUGAAAGCCUACCGAGGGUUCGAAUCCCUCCCUUUCCG
rnacentral:tRNA from 1 species